rnacentral:rRNA from 1 species
AGAGUUUGAUCCUGGCUCAGGAUGAACGCUAGCGGCAGGCCUAAUACAUGCAAGUCGAACGGUGUCUUCGGACAUAGUGGCGCACGGGUGCGUAACACGUAUGCAACCUACCUUACAUUGGGGGAUAGCCUUUCGAAAGGGAGAUUAAUACCGCAUAAGACAGUAGCUGGGCAUCCAGCAGCUGUUAAAGAUUUAUCGAUGUAAGAUGGGCAUGCGUCCAAUUAGUUAGUUGGCGAGGUAAUGGCUCACCAAGACUUUGAUUGGUAGGGGAACUGAGAGGUCAAUCCCCCACACUGGCACUGAGAUACGGGCCAGACUCCUACGGGAGGCAGCAGUAGGGAAUAUUGGGCAAUGGACGCAAGUCUGACCCAGCCAUGCCGCGUGCAGGAUGAAGGCGUUAUGCGUUGUAAACUGCUUUUAUACAGGAAGAAACGACUCUUGCGAGAGGCAUUGACGGUACUGUAUGAAUAAGCACCGGCUAACUCCGUGCCAGCAGCCGCGGUAAUACGGAGGGUGCAAGCGUUGUCCGGAUUUAUUGGGUUUAAAGGGUGCGCAGGUGGUUUAUUAAGUCAGUGGUGAAAGACGGUCGCUCAACGAUUGCAGUGCCAUUGAAACUGGUAGACUUGAGUAAAGUAGAGGUGGGCGGAAUUGAUAGUGUAGCGGUGAAAUGCAUAGAUAUUAUCAAGAACUCCAAUUGCGUAGGCAGCUCACUUGGCUUUUACUGACACUCAUGCACGAAAGUGUGGGUAUCAAACAGGAUUAGAUACCCUGGUAGUCCACACUGUAAACGAUGAUAACUA